UUCCAUUCUAAAACUGAUUUCGCAAGAAUUCGGCUAGAUUCACUAGUAUACAUGCGCGUUGACGUCGUUUAAUGAUUGUUCCCAACGCGAGUGCAAUCGACCCUUGGAUCACUUUCAGCUGAUUAGUGAGAGCUUCUGGAGGCUUAAUUUGAGCAGAAUUGAGACCUUGGGGAGCUGAUUUUGGGACUUCCUUUGAACUGAUUGGAGCAUUAGUACGAGAGCUAUCUACAGGAGAGGCUAGGGAUCGUGGCAAG